rnacentral:rRNA from 1 species
GCCUACACGAAGUCGGAAUCGCUGUAAUCGCGGAUCAGCAUGCCGCGGUGAAUACGUUCCCGGGCCUUGUACACACCGCCCGUCACACCAUGGGAGUUUGUAACGCCCAAAGUCGGUGGCCUAACCUUUAUGGAGGGAGCCGCCUAAGGCGGGACAGAUGACUGGGGUGAAGUCGUAACAAGGUACC